rnacentral:rRNA from 1 species
UACGAGCGGCCCAAACGUUAUUCGGAAUUACUGGGCUUAAAGAGUUCGUAGGCGGCGCAGAAAGUCGGGUGUGAAAGCCCUCGGCUCAACCGAGGAAUUGCGCUCUAAACUACUGUGCUUGAGGAAUCUAGAGGUGAGCGGAACUGAUGGUGGAGCGGUGAAAUGCGUUGAUAUCGGAAGGAACGCCGGUGGCGAAAGCGACGUGCUGGCCCUCUUCUGACGCUGAGGCGCGAAAGCCAGGGGAGCAAACGGG